CCCUUAGAUGUUCUGGGCCGCACGCGCGCUACACUGAUGCAUUCAACGAGCACCCGCUGGGCCGAGAGGUCCGGCUAAUCUUUGAACGUGCAUCGUGCUGGGGAUAGAUGAUUGCAAUUAUUCAUCUUCAACGAGGAAUUCCUAGUAAACGCAAGUCAUCAGCUUGCAUUGAUUACGUCCCUGCCCUUUGUACACACCGCCCGUCGCACCUACCGAUUGAAUGGUCCGGUGAAAUUCUCGGACGCGGACUUGCGAUGUUAAUUCGGGGCUUGACUGUGAAAGUUAAUUAAACCUUACCAUUUAGAGGAAGGUGAAGUCGUAACA
rnacentral:rRNA from 1 species